AUAAAGCUUGUAGUAUAUAAUAUCCAUACUAAGAGAAAAGGAUUAGCAUGGCCCUGCGCAAGGAUGGCACGCACAAAUCGAGAAAUGGUCCAAAUUUUU